rnacentral:lncRNA from 1 species
CCCACGAUGGCAUCCAGUCGAGAGUAGCCACUGCCACCGUUAUCGCAAACAAUAUCGUUGGAGAAGUCGAUUUUUGCGCCUUUGCAGCUCCGGCUUGAAGACAUUCCUGUUGUUGAGUACAAGUUUGACGAAGAAGGAAAGGACACCUAUAAGACCUUAAUGAAAAAAAGAAAGGUGCGGUAGGGAGAGAUUGCCUCGCUACCAGGGCUGGUCUUGAGUUUUUAGGGGCCCGGGGCGAAAUUUAUGUUGGAGGCCCCAUAAAACACAAAAACAUCAAGUUUCUUUUGUAGCAGCCGGUGAUAUUGUGCGGUUUGUGCUAUAUUUACAAGUCAAAACUAUAGCAUACAUGCUGCUACAUCUAACCAGCUAUACUAGA